ensembl:lncRNA
UUUUGUAUCAAAAAUAUCCAUUUUAUUGAACAAAAAUAUCGAUUUCAUUGAACUUGUGACACGAGGCCGCGGGAUCCAUCCGAGCGGGGGCACAUCUGGGGAGGGAGCAGCAUAACAGGGGUGUCAGUGCGCGUGUCCAUCCCUCCUCCCGCGCCCCACAAUGGUCCCUCCCAUCUCCCCCCACCCCGUGCCUCAGGUGGAACCAGUCACUCAUUGGCUCAGCCUGGGGCGGUGUCACCUCAUCCUCGGCACAGGCCCCGCCCCCUUCCCUCUAAGCCCCGCCCCCAACUCACCUCCGGCCCCGCCCUCGGCUCGUGCCACCUGUGGGAAAGCGAAGGGGGGAGGGGGGAAGGGGGGGGGGUGAGUGUCUCCCCUCCCCCAUUCCCGUCCCCUCCACCCUCAUCCCAAUUUUUCAGCCAUCCCGAGUGUUUUCAGGGCUCAAGGUGAGCUGGGUGUGAUGUCAUCACCAAAAUUGGGGCGGGGGAAUGAUGUCAUCGAUGACAUCAAACGUACCUGCUCCCAUGGGGUGUCCAGGGCCGGGCUGUGGGGACACAAAAAGGGGGGGGGGAGGUCAGGGGGGGUGCUCAGGGGGUGGGGGAGGGGCUGCAUCCCUUUACCCCCUCCCCCAGAGUCAGUGGUUGCUUCUCAGCAGCGGGUUCAGCCGAACGAGAUUCAAUUGGGGUCAUCACAAAGUGGGGGGGGACACCCCAAAACCAACCCUCCCCCUCCACCCCCACCCCGGCCCCCUCAGACCGUCCAUCGGGACGCAGCAUCCUCCUCCCCUCCCCCCGCCAGCACCAGUGGGUUCGACCUUGGGCAGGUCCUGGUGGCCGGGGGGGGGUCAGACGCGGAGGGGUUUCCUCAUCGGGGGCCGGCGGCUGCGGAGACACAGGGAUGGGGGGGCUGCGUCAGGGCUGGGUUUGGGGGGACACUGGGGGCGAGGGCAGGACCCGCACUCCCCGCGGCUGCGCGGACAAAAUG